AACGAACGCUGGCGGCAGGCCUAACACAUGCAAGUCGAACGCCCUAGCAAUAGGGAGUGGCAGACGGGUGAGUAACGCGUGGGAACGUACCCUUCGGUUCGGAAUAACCCAGGGAAACUUGGACUAAUACCGGAUACGUGCGAGAGCAGAAAGAUUUAUCGCCGAAGGAUCGGCCCGCGUCCGAUUAGCUAGUUGGUGAGGUAAUGGCUCACCAAGGCGACGAUCGGUAGCUGGCUGAGAGGAUGAUCAGCCACACUGGGACUGAGACACGGCCCAGACUCCUACGGGAGGCAGCAGUGGGGAAUAUUGGACAAUGGGCGCAAGCCUGAUCCAGCCAUGCCGCGUGAGUGAUGAAGGCCCUAGGGUUGUAAAGCUCUUUUGCCCGGGAAGAUAAUGACGGUACCGGGAGAAUAAGCCCCGGCUAACUUCGUGCCAGCAGCCGCAGUAAG
rnacentral:rRNA from 1 species